AAGACAGAUAUGGAACAUACUUUGUAGACAUACAAAUGGACUAAUUUAUACUAUCCAAAUAAAUAUGAGCUCUACAUCCUGACCUGGGGGGGAUGCCUUAGGGUAUCUCUAUGCAUAUCCCAAGGUAAGAAAUAGCCAGCUGAGAAGAGUGAAAUGCUGCACAAUGCCAGCACUGAGAGUUGUGAGAAUCUAGGAGUUUCCAGAUACAAGAAGCAGUGAUCAGCAGAUGGCUCAAGAAAGCUGUUAUCUUCAUGAAAUCUUCUGCCUUCCCAUUUGCAGUUCAGUAGAAUACCUCAUUGCUCCUUGUGCUUUCAGUUUGUAAAUGAAUUUUUCUUCAUCUUUCUUCAUCUUGGGAGCACAGAAGAAUAACCAAGGGAAAAAAAAAAAAAAAAAAAAAAAAGAAGAAUGUAGUCAGAACCAUGGGGACUUUACUCAAAAAGAUCAUGCGUUAUUUUUCCCUUUAUUUAACAGAUUUCUCCUUCACGUUUAGAAAAAUAACACAUAGUAAUUAGGUUCCCUACUCUACCAAAUAUUUAAUAAGGUUCCUUUAAAAUGACCUUUUAAAAGUUCAGGUCUUUAUUUGUUUGUUCGAUUGUUUGAUUGUUUAGAACAGUCAUUUGGAAAUGCAGGCUGAAUGUUCACAGGUUUUGACUAAUAGAGAAAUUUGUGUGGUUUACUGUAUCAUCUCUCUUUUCCUUUCUUCCCCUCCACAUUUCCCUUUUGCCUCUGCCUUUCACUUGCCAUUGAUAAUGCAUACAUUUGUAAUUGAAGAGAAUCUAUUUUUAAUGACUUUACAGUUGUAGGAGUUGUUGCUCUUGCUAGUGCUAUAGCUGCUGUUCCCACAAGCUAAACACAUUUGACUGCUAAUUUCCCAUUCUAAGAUGUUGGAAGGUUCAUGACAUUUAUCGACAUAAGGCACAUUUACAAACUAUAAGUUCUGAUGUGAAAAUUACUGUGUCUCUUUGUAGGGAAUAAGUACAGUAAGUUUCAAUAGCAGCAAGCAGUCUGUAUACUCAUAAAACUCCAUUGUAAGAGAAAAAAAAUGCCAAUAUUUCUGGGACUUGGAAACUGCAAAAGAGAAUAAAAUAUCAGAAUAUGCAUAAGGAUGGAGAGGCAGAAAGUAGAUUUGUUUGCACAAAGAGAAAAUUGCAGGAUUUUUCAAGCAGAAAACUCUAUUUUAUUCUGAGAAACUGACAACUUAGUUAAGGGCUGCUGUUGGCAUCUUGCUCCAGCAUAUGUGUUAAGAUCUUAGUAAUAUUUGUCAGAAAUUGUGUGGACUUUUAAGCCAGUAAGUCACAGCAUGUAACUUCAGUGGUAUUUGUUUGUUUGUUUAGUUAGUUUGUUGUUGUUGUUAUUGUUGUUUUUGUUUUUGUUUUGUUUUUGUUUUUGAUUUUGUUUUAAGAAGCAAAACUACCUGAGGAAGAAAUCUGUAAAAUCCUGGAAAUUGAAUCUUUCCUUCCAUCCAUGUAAAUCAGAAGUAAUCCCAAUAAAACCAGUGGCAUUGUCUGCCAGUAUAGAAAAAGUCAAUUUGAAAAGAAUUUGUUUUAUUUCUUUCGAGGGAACUGGGGGAGUCCUUGUAAUUCAUUUGCUCAGGAACAGCAGUAUGCUUCAGAUAUACAUGCAGCAAGCUAGGUUGGUAUCUGGAAAUGCUAUGAAUUAAUGUCUGUCCUUAACACUAUGAAUCACAUGAAAAAAAUGAAAAUCUUGGCUGUGCUCAGAAAACCUUACUGAUGUUCCUUUGAAUAUAAUGGUAAGGAAAACUGACUUCUCUGCUCUAGUAUUUUCCCAUUAUGAAAUUCCUUGAUGAAAGAAUUCAAGUUAUGACAUUAAAAUACAUGGUUUAGUGAUGAGAUAUGUAGAUCAGAGUAAUGGUUGAACUGUAUGAUGUUGAGGGUCAUUUUCAGUAUAUAUGAAAAUGUAAUUUACUUCGUUUUUUUCCUGUCUGUUCCUUAUAUUGCCAUUAACCUGUAUUACCUGGGAUAAAUAUUUUGUAUAUUUAGUAUUUUUCUUUUUUGGAUUUAUGGCAUUUUUGAAGGUAGUAUCUCUUUACACAAACUUUAUUUCAUUAGCAGUAAGAUUAACCACAUUUUCAACAUAAUACUGGCUUUUUUUAUUAUUAUUAUUAAGAACAAAUUAAAAAAAAAAAGUUCAUUUCCACUUUCCAUAGUUGAGUGACAUUGCUUUUCAAAAUGAGUCACAUAAAAAGUGCUGGAUUUAAUAUAUGAUAGCCAGAAGUUUGAGUGGUGUGAGGAAGUGCAACUAUUUCACUGUCCUGCGCUGUGAUGACUUUCCUAACAGCACUUGUUUCUAGAAGUUAUUGACCGCACUGACAUUCCAAACCGAUAUCCGCAACUUCUUAAUAUUUAUUUUGUGCAGAAUACUUUAUAUCUGUAUGAAAAAAAGAAAUAAUGAUAAUGACAACAACAAAAUGACAACAACAACAACAAAACCACUUAAAUGUAUCUACUUAAAAAAAAAUAAUAUUUGAAGCUUUUUCUUUUUCUUUUUCUUUUUUUUUUUUCUUUUUAACUACUUAGACUUUUUUUUUUUUUAACAUAAAUGAUCUUAGGAGUAUAACUCUGCAUCUUGGUAAAGCUUCAAAGCAAGAUUGACUGGGAUGGAGUUUUGAAUACAUACAUUGAAAUCUCACCUGGAAAACAGAGAUAAACUCACCAUCUUGGAAAGAGUACCGUGAGAGCUUUCAUAAAAAUCUAUGAGCAGUAUUUUGCUGUGCAAGCAUCUCUGUCAUGGAGUUAUCUAGAUAAGUCUGUGCCCGUGACAGGGGGCAGUAGGCUCGUGGGCCUCCUGGAAAAAAAACAGAGCAGCGGCAAUGAUCUAAGAAGGAGAACUUACUAACUAUGAUUUAUAGUAUAGAUUUAUAUGACUUAUAACUUUACUAACUAUGAUGUCGGAAUGCAAGAUGACACGAUAUAAUACAAU
ensembl:lncRNA